UAGGGGGUUUCCGCCCCUUAGUGCUGCAGCUAACGCAUUAAGCACUCCGCCUGGGGGAGUACGGUCGCAAGACUGAAACUCAAAGGAAUUGACGGGGGCCCGCCCAAGCGGUGGAGCAUGUGGUUUAAUUUGAAGCAACGGGAAGAACCUUACCAGGUCUUGACAUCCUUUGACAAUCCUAGAGAUAGGACGUCCCCUUCGGGGGCAGAGUGACAGGUGGUGCAUGGUUGUCGUCAGCUCGUGUCGUGAGAUGUUGGGUUAAGUCCCGCAACGAGCGCAACCCUUGAUUUUAGUUGCCAGCAUUCAGUUGGGCACUUUAAGGUGACUGCCGGUGACAAACCGGAGGAAGGUGGGGAUGACGUCAAAUCAUCAUGCCCCUUAUGACCUGGGCUACACACGUGCUACAAUGGACAGAACAAAGGGCAGCGAAACCGCGAGGUUAAGCCAAUCCCACAAAUUUGUUUUCAGUUCGGAUCGCAGUUUGCAACUUGACUGCGUGAAGCUGGAAUCGCUAGUAAUCGCGGAUCAGCAUGCCGCGGUGAAUACGUUCCCGGGCCUUGUACACACCGCCCGUCACACCACGAG
rnacentral:rRNA from 1 species